CCUGUGUGCCUGUGUGAGUACACACGUGUGAGUUAAACUGCUCCAACACAAGAUAUCUAGACAGACCAGAUAAUACAGGACACACAAAAACAGCUCAUCUGUCGAAUCUGAUGUGAUCAACUAAACAGACAAAGUGAUAAUGGGGGCAGGAGAGGGGUGUGGAGGUCUGCUAGGAGGUACAACCAGCCCUGCUCUCCUGUUUGAAAGCUCAGAUGACCAUUUGAGUCUAAAACCUCCGGACCCGCCAGAAGAAGUCGUAUCAGUGGCAGGAAAUGAAGGAAGUAUAUACUUAGAAGAAGCAACUUGACCCUUUCAACGCGAACAUGUUAGAGCCUCGUUAUCGUCUGUCCACGUGCUUUCACCAUUGUGGUGGGCCAGGCUUUGUCUCAAUAGACUGUGACCUUGGUUUCACAUUGUAACAGAACUGGAAGAUUUGUUCCAUUUGUUCGUUCUUCUUAUCUGGAGAAUAAAGUCUAGAAGUAACAUG
rnacentral:sRNA from 1 species